ACAAUAAAUUAAAAAAUCCGCGUGGUAUCCGCUUUAAAAAGCGUCUACGUGACAAGGAGCACGCUAGAUUCAGAAACUCUCGUCUGCUUCAAUGACGGAGUGAUAUAUUCUAAUUCUCAUUCCGGAAUAGCGCGGGUGUGAGGAAAAAACGGUUGGAUAUUAGCGCUAAAAAGGGCAUAAUUUGUUUGAUAAAAGCAAACAUGUCGUCUUUACUUAGAAGAAAUAUUCAAUCAACUCUUCAUGGCAUUGCGUUGUUACCUCAAUUUCUACUUGUUGGUGGAGGGGGGCUAGUUGGUAUUUACUUCACGGGAUGGAGUUUUCGUCAGUACUAUAACAGUGACAAAGAACCGUCAGCACCCUACACUAGCAUAGAAAAAGACAUUCCGUCAUCGGACGAGCUUUACAAACAGCAAUAGUGAUUGAAGAGCACUUUCGCAAACAUUUCGUCAUCAACAGACUGUGAUUACGUCAUUUCUAUUUCUUUUCUUCCUCGAAGCUUCGUUCAAUACAUUUGACGAUCACGUCAUCAUAUAUUUUAUUCAGUGGUGUUA